CUCCGUACACACCUUGGAGACCUCUGAACAUACGUGUCAGAGUAAUUAGACAAUUUGAUCACUUGUCUAAGUUCCCCAUCUUCGACCAAUCUCAUACAUAAAUCAACGACUGCCGGACCGACCAUUUCUGCCUGAACGCUUAUGGAGACCAACCUAAUGAACUCUAAGCUGUAACUAACCAAGUAUCUGACCUCCGUCAUUCACCACCUUGAUGGCCAAAGAACAUCAGCUUCCCUGCUAAAGACAUGGACCCCAACUGGAGGGCAGAUUUUUGGUAAAAGGGUAAAUAUGACACGCACUCAUUGGAAUCUAAUGGUAUGUUAGAAGUGGAGGAACAAGAAAAGAUCAAUGUGACAUAAAAAAGAAAAAAGUAUACCCCAGUGGUGUUUGGAGAGAGCACUCAGGAAGAGUGGAAGCAGCUGCUUUUUCAUCUGUAAAGCUCUAUAACGUUCCAUAAUCGACCAAGAAUAAAAGAAUUUUUAAAAUAGCAUUUCAUUUUCUCUUCUUUAAAGAUUGUUGACCCAUCAUUUUCUCUUCUGUAAUGUUUUCCCCAAAGACAUCUAACUGAAAUAUUAAAAAGUGAUG